AAAAAAGCAGGGAUCUGUUGCCAUUUGUGAAUAGGUCUCUCGUAAACUUCAGGAAUAGAAGUCGUGCAAUGUUAUUGGGUGAACCACUUUGCGUAUAAUUUACUUGGCUAGUCUCUUUAAUAUGGAUUUACAUACUG